GCUGAUGCAGCAUCCAUGGUAGAAAAGGCAGGGGCGGCCGCAGCGCCGCAGCAGCAGUUGCUCUAGGGGGUGGAAAUCAGAUUGCACCAUUCCUACCUCAUUUGGCAGCAGAAGCAUCGAGUCACAAGGAGGAUGAGGUUCUAGCCCAGAAGCAGCUGGGCUAUGUCAUUCUAAAGGUGGGUGUCGCGUCUACAGCAGAAGGGGCCAAGGAGCCACACAAAACCAGCACCGUUUCAGCAUUGCCCAGAAGGCAUCCGCUGUCUCCCCCAAACAUCCAUGGCUCAUCUGCUUAGGGGUUCUCAAAAUGUUAACUGAUGGUCCGGCCUUUUAAAAAUUCCCUUAAGAGAGUAAACAUAGUCAGGUGCCAGUUGCUGAGUCGAGAUCUUGCCCUACAAGCAGAUUGGCUGAGGAGUCCGGAGGGAUCCUCAUGAAGGGGGAGCAGGAAACAGAACAAAGAGGAAGGUGGAGCAACAGGGUAGGCAGAAAGAGCCCCUCCACUCUUCAUUUACCUGGGAGGGAAUAAUUUAGCCCAAAGUUUCUGUCUGUGGCAAACCUAGAACUAGAAUCCAGGUCUCCUGCCUCCCAGGCCAGCAGUCCCACACCACAUAGCGUUUUGCCAGCGUGCUGGCUCCUUUAUUGGACAGGGAACUCUCUUGCUAAUCUUCUAGUUGUAGACAAAUGACUAGUAAGGAAUUUGUAAUGAACGCCAUCUUUUCCUGUCCCCCGGCAGCUCCAUCAUUUCGAAGAAAAAAUAUAUAUAUUAAACAGAGAAGCAAAUCCCACAAAAA
rnacentral:lncRNA from 1 species